rnacentral:SRP_RNA from 1 species
CGCACUAGUCGGGAAGUUAGCGGUUUCCUGUACCUGCAUCGCUUCAGCAGGGAUGAAACCCCACACCCGGGCGUCAAGGAACCGAUACCUAUGGGCAGUUUGAUGUUGAGAGACCGGCCCUGCGCAACGAGAAACCGUGAACCAUGUCAGGUGGGGAACCAAGCAGCAUUAAGCGGAGCUUCUCGUGUGCCGCGGGUUUACCGUUCUUGAGUCGGGCUGUACGGUUCGGCAGCCGGAUGUUCAAAUGUGGGUGU